UGGACUUUUGGAUUCUUACCAUCAAGACUGCGAUACCAAAUGCAAUCCCCAGCGCGAUGACUGCAUUCUUCUCCAUGAAGGAAGUCACAAACUUGACACAAGGCUGCAGAGGACAAAGCAAACAGUCAACACUAGUGAACACCAGGUCAAGGUAACUGUACAAAGACACUAGUGAACACCAGGUCAAGGUAACUGUACGAAGACACUAGUGAACACCAGGUCAAGGUAACUGUACGAAGACACUAGUGAACACCAGGUCAAGGUAACUGUACGAAGACACUAGUGAACACCAGGUCAAGGUAACUGUACGAAGACACUAGUGAACACCAGGUCAAGGUAACUGUACGAAGACACUAGUGAACACCAGGUCAAGGUAACUGUACGAAGACACUAGUGAACACCAGGUCAAGGUAACUGUACGAAGACACUAGUGAACACCAGGUCAAGGUAACUGUACGAAGACACAGUCAACACCAGGUCAAGGUAACUGUACGAAGACACUAGUCAACACCAGGUCAAGGUAACUGUACAAAGACACUAGUGAACACCAGGUCAAGGUAACUGUACGAAGACGCAGUCAACACCAGGUCAAGGUAAUUGUACGAAGACGCUGCUUUGUGGUUCGUGGGUGUAUCAUCCUGGAACCCUCUAUGGUUUCAUGUGGCUGUAGAUCAGUUCCCUGGACAGGUUCUGUUUAUAGGAGUGUAGUGGAAUGUAGAGUAGUGGUAGUGUAGUGGAAUGGUAAUGUAUGGUAGUGUAGUGUAAUGGAAUGUAGAGUAGUGGUAGUGGUAAUGUAUGGCAGUGUAAUGGUAAUGGUAACGUAGUGCAGCGGUAAUGUAACGUGUGUUUAUUGAUGUUUCCUUUAUACCAAGUAAAGCCACCUUCCUUGAGUUUUCUAAAUAGUAUUUGAUUAAUAAUAUGUGAUUGUCUGCUUACCGUUGAG